rnacentral:rRNA from 1 species
AGCGAACGCUGGCGGCAGGCCUAACACAUGCAAGUCGAACGAAGUCUUCGGACUUAGUGGCGAACGGGUGAGUAACACGUGGGAACGUGCCUUUAGGUUCGGAAUAACUCAGGGAAACUUGUGCUAAUACCGAAUGUGCCCUUCGGGGAAAGAUUUAUCGCCUUUAGAGCGGCCCGCGUCUGAUUAGCUAGUUGGUGAGGUAAAGGCUCACCAAGGCGACGAUCAGUAGCUGGUCUGAGAGGAUGAUCAGCCACAUUGGGACUGAGACACGGCCCAAACUCCUACGGGAGGCAGCAGUGGGGAAUCUUGCGCAAUGGGCGAAAGCCUGACGCAGCCAUGCCGCGUGAAUGAUGAAGGUCUUAGGAUUGUAGAAUUCUUUCACCGGGGACGAUAAUGACGGUACCCGGAGAAGAAGCCCCGGCUAACUUCGUGCCAGCCGCCGCGGUAACAC